UCCCAGGUAGUUGAGUGGUACAACGCCACGCUGUUAACGUGGAUUUCCUUGGUUCGAGUCCAAGCCUGGGAG
rnacentral:tRNA from 1 species